GAUGAACGCUAGCUACAGGCUUAACACAUGCAAGUCGAGGGGAAACGAUAUUGGAAGCUUGCUUCCGAUAGGCGUCGACCGGCGCACGGGUGAGUAACGCGUAUCCAACCUGCCCACCACUUGGGGAUAACCUUGCGAAAGUAAGACUAAUACCCAAUGACGUCUCUAGAAGACAUCUGAAAGAGAUUAAAGAUUUAUCGGUGAUGGAUGGGGAUGCGUCUGAUUAGCUUGUUGGCGGGGUAACGGCCCACCAAGGCUACGAUCAGUAGGGGUUCUGAGAGGAAGGUCCCCCACAUUGGAACUGAGACACGGUCCAAACUCCUACGGGAGGCAGCAGUGAGGAAUAUUGGUCAAUGGGCGAGAGCCUGAACCAGCCAAGUAGCGUGCAGGAUGACGGCCCUAUGGGUUGUAAACUGCUUUUAUAAGGGAAUAAGGUGAGUCUCGUGAGACUUUUUGCAUGUACCUUAUGAAUAAGGACCGGCUAAUUCCGUGCCAGCAGCCGCCGCCG
rnacentral:rRNA from 1 species